AGAGUUUGAUCCUGGCUCAGAACGAACGCUGGCGGCAGGCUUAACACAUGCAAGUCGAGCGCACUCUUUUAGAGUGAGCGGCAAACGGGUGAGUAACGCGUGGGAAUCUACCCAUCUCUACGGAAUAACACAGAGAAAUUUGUGCUAAUACCGUAUACGUCCUAUUUGGAGAAAGAUUUAUCGGAGAUGGAUGAGCCCGCGUUGGAUUAGCUAGUUGGUGAGGUAACGGCUCACCAAGGCGACGAUCCAUAGCUGGUCUGAGAGGAUGAUCAGCCACACUGGGACUGAGACACGGCCCAGACUCCUACGGGAGGCAGCAGUGGGGAAUAUUGGACAAUGGGGGCAACCCUGAUCCAGCCAUGCCGCGUGAGUGAUGAAGGCCCUAGGGUUGUAAAGCUCUUUCACCGGUGAAGAUAAUGACGGUAACCGGAGAAGAAGCCCCGGCUAACUUCGUGCCAGCAGCCGCGGUAAUACGAAGGGGGCUAGCGUUGUUCGGAUUUACUGGGCGUAAAG
rnacentral:rRNA from 1 species